rnacentral:rRNA from 1 species
UACGUAGGGGGCGAGCGUUAUCCGGAGUUACUGGGCGUAAAGCGCACGCAGGCGGUUCGAUUAGUCUGCCGUGACAGUCGUCGGCUUAACUGACGAAGUACGGUGGAAACUGUCGAACUUGAGGGCUUCAGAGGGACACGGAAUUCCGGGUGGAGUGGUGAAAUGCGUAGAUAUCCGGAGGAACACCGAUGGCGAAGGCAGUGUCCUGGGAAGUACCUGACGCUCAGGUGCGAAAGCUAGGGGAGCGAACAGG